rnacentral:lncRNA from 1 species
AAAAAGUUUAUUUAGUAACAGGUUUGUAAACAUUUGAGGUAAAUUAACAUUUACAUCAACUUGUCCUUACAGAAUUUAUUACACAAGGCACUUCUUUAAAGACAGCAUUUUAAACAUUUUUCUUCUUUUAUUGUAAUUACAAGUCCCUGACUGCCAAAAAAAAUAAAAUCCUUUUGUGAUGAGGUUUGGUAGAGAAAAAGACAUAUAUCCUUUUAGGCAACAAGAAACCUCAGUGUAGGUUAUCAGCUGCAAGACAAACUUUUCAUUCUUAAAAUCAAGAUAUAGUCUUAAAAUAAUUUAUCUGAGUGAUCUAGAUGUGGUGAAAUCUCAUACUAAAUUUAACAUUACUAGACAAAAAAAUCCUUAUAUUUCAAAAAGUAUUCUGUCAAUCGCUGAUUACAUUGUAUUUUGAAUAAUGUUUACAUUUGCAAAAUGCAGUUUGUUGGAAGAAUGCUAUUGCAUAAAAGAACAUUUGUAACUCUCACAAAAGCCUUUGCGAAAGACCAGUGCCAGCGUUUGUAAAAUAUAAUCCUGCAAAAAUAUAAAUACAUCUUGUAUUAAUAUCUGUUGAGUGAACAUCUAGUGCAGGGGUAGACAAUCUUUGGCACUCAGAUGCUGUGGACUACAUCUCUUACAGCCAUACUGCUAACAAAGCGUAGUUGGAAAUGUAGUUUACAACAUCAGGAGUGUCAAUGAUUGCCUACUCCUGAUCUAGAGGCUUGUUCUGGUGGUUCCUCACCCAAAUCUUUCAUAAACCCUAAAUCCAACAAUUUUUAAUCUGGUAUAUAAAUUUGGUAGUCAAUUUUAGAUUCCUUGUUUGCCAACAUGCCUACUGGGAAAAUAGCCAUGGCAUUGGCUCCAACUUAUAUAUAUAUAUAUAAUCGUUGCAUGCUGUUUUCAUGUUUACUGGAAAGAUAGCAAAUAGUUUUUUUGGUUAGGUUUAUAUGAACUGAUCUAAAAUGGACAAACUAUCAAAUCACUAUUCAACUACCAGUAUGCCUGAUGAAUAGCAAUUAUGCUGGCUUAAAGGAAUAACCAUGUCAACAAAAAAGUAACACUAAAAGUCCAACUGGUAUACACCGGUCACACUUCUAAAUGCUAAUUCACCUUUUUGGUAAACGUAUCCAAAAUUCGUGUUUUUCGUUGUUUAUAAUAACAAUCCAGAGAAGAAUCUCUAAAACACAGUCUUAAAAUGUUUGAAUAUUUGUCUCUUCAGUUAGCCAGAUCACACUCCCAAGAUCCAUUAUCGAACAGCCCAGCUCUGUAAAGGGAUAUAUGUCAUAUCUAAAGUAUGGUUCCUCAGAUUGCCCAAAUGACUAUCAUCGUUAACUCAAGGACAUGUCAGGGCUUAACUGAUGUCUUUGAAAAAUGUUUUAACUCUAUCAUAUUACAUCGAGAUGGAAUGGAUUUUAACAAUUGACAUUUGAUUUACUUUCAAGGGAGAUUGCUUUUGACUCUUACUGGGAGUUGAAAAACAUUUGGUAAGAAAAAGCUAAGAGUGUUUAUCAAUUAUUAUACUUUUUUAAAUUGGGCAAAUGCUACAUAUCUGCCACCAGUUUCAUCAAGAAGGAAAAAAAUGCAAGCCUGAUCUUUGCUUAGAGGAGCUUUUAGAAAGAUUCACAAUUAAUAAAGUGCUUUUUUUACUUGGUCUUUCAUUCAUAAAUUGCAGAUAGUACAGUUUAAACAAGAGAAGACCAAAGUAAACUGUAAGCAAUAAUAUGGUUUAAUGGGUCGUAUUUUGGAGACUGCUAUCUAACAAAUAAUUUACAAAUAAAUACUCAAUUUAUGCGUGUGAUCUCGAUAUUGGUUUGUAUUUAAUUUUCCACAUUUUUUUUUUCCAUGUUCUUUUUUUUCUUUGACCAGAUUUUCUAUUUUUGUUUAAUGUUUCUGGAAAAAUUCUCUCUGGUUUGUAUCCUUGACUAUAAACAAACUUAUUCCGUCCAUCCACAUCAAAAAGUUUAACUCCCCAGUAACCACUUUCUUGUUCAUUUUCAUAGGAUUCUAUCCUGGAAUUAUCAAGAACACAAGGGAACUACGCCUAUUACCAUAGGAUUUAGAGAAUCAUAUUUUGUGUGUCAAUAAAUGACUAAUAGAUGCUCGGAUCUUGUAAAUCGAAAGAUUCAAACCAAUGAACCAACAAUUGCAUUCUGUUUAUUUUAGAUCCCUAUGACACUUUAUGCAAUCUUUGACAUGUGACACUAAAAUAAUGAAAAUGUAUAGAGAAAUAGGGUUAUUAUAUAUUCUAAUGACCUACUGCUAGGGGAAUAAUGACACACCAGUUGUGUCCCAAGAAUUAAAAGAUUUGCUUUAAAUUUAGUGCCUUAAGUCUGAAGAGCUUGUGUGUUUUCUUAAAACCAUUGAUUUUGAGGAUUAACAAAUUUAUGGGAAAUAUUUUUGAUAGCAAAUGUAACCUUCAAAAUGACAGUAUAUUGUCCAAAUGUGCAAUUAAUAAAGCCAAAUAAAUUAAUGUAAACUUCAAGAAACCAAAGUUACAAAUAUAUCGCACACAUUUCACAAGAAAAAAAAAUGGUGCAAAUAAAAAAUGGACAUUGCAAAAAUAAAUUCUCCUUUUAGGAUUCGACAAAUUGAAAAAGGAAGUCUAAGAUGUAAAUAAUGAGUGUCUGACUAUAUCUUUCACGUCAACAACCAAACUUUCAAGAUGUGUCUAUUUAACAUGCAUUAAAUCAAUUAAAAUUGUGUAUCACUGCGUAAUGUAUUAAGGUGUUAUCCUGAAAAGACAGUGUAACACUUGAGGAAUAAAUUAUGCAGCCUUUGAGUAAAAAAAAAAAAAUUGCUUAAUUGUAUUAUUAUUAUUUUUUUUCAAUUGUACAUUUACUUUAUUUUCUGUUUGGUUGGAAA